rnacentral:lncRNA from 1 species
AUUGAAUUGACAGACAUACCAGCCAAUAGCUUUCCAACUAUCAGUUAACAGAAUGAUGCUAUCUUACUGUGAGGAUUCUGGGCUUACAGCAUUCGUUUCCAGCAUAACAGUGAUGAUAUGCUUUAUUUAUUGAGUUUCCUCAUAAUAACAUGUUAAAUAUACAUUUCAUAUUUACUUUUUAUGAUUAUGGAAGUAAUGUACUAACCCUUCAUGAAAAAAUGAAAAAAUAUCAGGACGAUGUAAAGGCAAAAAGACACAUCACACAUCUCAUUCAAAAAUGAGUUAUAUUAGUAUAUUUCAUAUUAAUAUUUUUCUUUCACAAAUAUUGAUUUAUAGUUAUAUUUUAUAACAUUAGAGCUAUAAUAUACAAUAACUUAGG